AAAAAGAAAAAAAAUGUUGUUGUUAAAAAUAGUUCUUUAAAAUGUAUUCCAUCAGUACAGCAAAACAUCGUUAUCAUUCUUGUCAUAUUUAGAAAGUGUCCGGGGUCCCUAGUCACAGGUUUUCAACUGAUAUGGAUCUAUCUGUACUAUGUAAGAAGCCAUACAACGAUGGACAUAUACCAGUGAAAUUGUGAGGAAGCCAGCAUUCGAAACGAGUUUGGCCAAGAUUACCUGGCCUUUAAAGGAGCUCAUAAGGUGAAAGAACGGCUAAUACAGACGGAUCUGUUUCCUGGAGAGAGCGACAUCAUUGUAACAGACCAGCUGGAACGUCUGCCCUCUGGGGCUUACAAAGGUUCAUCAGGCGUGACAUUAGCAUUCGAUGUUCUCGUGGGCAGCCAUUAUCAACUGCCGCAAUCACUGGAGGGCUUUGGAAAACGUGUAUUAAAAACACUUUGAUGAAAACAGUUUUAUUGAUAGAUGGGAGAAAGUAUUGUUGUAACACCUUUCACAGCUAUUGUUGUGCAUCCAUACAUGACGCAAUUAUUUAUUUUUAUCAUAGAAUAUGUCAAACAGUAUCCACAUAUCGGUAUUACAAAAAGGAAACUGAAUGGUUUCAUGCACGAAUUGGGCGAGGUCGGUUUGGGAUCGAUCCCCGUCAGUGGGCCCAUUGCGCUAUUUCUCGCUCCAGCCAGUGCACCACGACUGGUACAUCAAAUGCCGUGGUAUGUGCU